UACGUAGGGUGCGAGCGUUAAUCGGAAUUACUGGGCGUAAAGCGUGCGCAGGCGGUUCGUUAAGUUCGAUGUGAAAGCCCCGGGCUCAACCUGGGAACUGCAUUGGAAACUGGCGAGCUUGAAUGCGGCAGAGGGGGGUGGAAUUCCGCGUGUAGCAGUGAAAUGCGUAGAGAUGCGGAGGAACACCGAUGGCGAAGGCAGCCCCCUGGGCCGACAUUGACGCUCAGGCACGAAAGCGUGGGGAGCAAACAGGA
rnacentral:rRNA from 1 species